AGCUAGCUGAUGAGUCCCAAAUAGGACGAAAUGCGCAUCCUGGAU
rfam:Trichobilharzia regenti genome assembly, scaffold: TRE_scaffold0076506